rnacentral:rRNA from 1 species
ACACUCCUACGGGAGGCAGCAGUAGGGAAUCUUCCACAAUGGGUGCAAACCUGAUGGAGCAAUGCCGCGUGAGUGAAGAAGGUCUUCGGAUCGUAAAGCUCUGUUGUUAGAGAAGAACACGUGCUAGGUAACUACUAGCGCCUUGACGGUAUCUAACCAGAAAGUCACGGCUAACUACGUGCCAGCAGCCGCGGUAAUACGUAGGUGACAAGCGUUGUCCGGAUUUAUUGGGCGUAAAGGGAGCGCAGGCGGUCUGUUUAGUCUAAUGUGAAAGCCCACGGCUUAACCGUGGAACGGCAUUGGAAACUGACAGACUUGAAUGUAGAAGAGGAAAAUGGAAUUCCAAGUGUAGCGGUGGAAUGCGUAGAUAUUUGGAGGAACACCAGUGGCGAAGGCGAUUUUCUGGUCUAACAUUGACGCUGAGGCUCGAAAGCGUGGGGAGCGAACAGGAUUAGAAACCCGGGUAGUCCC